GAUGAACGCUGGCGGCAUGCCUAAUACAUGCAAGUCGAGCGAACGGACGAGGAGCUUGCCUUUCUGCUGUUAGCGGCGGGCGGGUGAGUAACACGUGGCUAACCUACCUAUAAGACUGAGAUACGUUCAGGAACCCUAAUCUCAUAUACGAUGUGAUUGUGAACCGCGUGGUUCUAAAGAGAACACCCGUCUUGAUGUCACUUAUACAUGGUACCAAGCUGCAUUAGUUAGUUGGUAGGGUAACGGCUUACCAAGGCAACGAUGCGUAGCUGACCUGAGAGGGUGAUCGGCCACACUGGAACUGAGACACGGUCCAGACUCCUACGGGAGGCAGCAGUGGGGAAUCUUCCACAAUGGGCGAAAGCCUGACGCAGCCACGCCGCGUGAGUGAAGAAGGUCUUCGGAUCGUAAAACUCUUUUAGUAGGGAAGAACAGAUGUGAGAUUAACUGUUGCUAUCUUGACGUUACCUAAUCAGAAAGCCACGGCUAACUACGUG
rnacentral:rRNA from 1 species